rnacentral:lncRNA from 1 species
AUGCUAUAAGUCGCUGGAUGUUCAUGUUUCUUCUUUGUUAAUUGGGGUAAAACUCUUAAAGCCAUUAGGCAAUUUAAAUGUAGCUCUAUUUGAACAAUAUCCUUUAUUGGAUCCCCCAUUAUCCUUUAAACAUCUUGGUGUGCAAGGGGAUAAAAUUAGAAAGAAUUUGUUUGCUUUAAAUUGCCAGCCUCUGCUUGAUAAAACUAUUAGCUAUUUAGCUAAUUGGCCUGCUCUUCCAUUAUCAUUAAUUGGCAGAAUUGAUACAAUUAAAAUGGAGGCUUUAUCUAAAGUGUUUGUGUUUUUUUCCAAGGUAUACCCAAUCCAGCUUCCAAACAUGUUCAGAGAGCCUUACAUUCUGCAGUUAGUAUUGCUUCCAGGAUUAGAGAACAGUGAGGAAGAAGAGCUUGCAGAGGUAACUAAGAGUUAA